AAGAUGAGGUACCUGGGGAGCCCGGAGUGCGUGACGUCACACCCUCCCCCCCCACCCCCGGCCCCGAGCCGCAGGUGGAGCCUGGUCCUCUGACCUCACAAACACACCUCGCUGCCAGGAGUGGGGCCUCCCCAGCCGCGCCUCUGCGGGGCCGCUCGCGCUCCCCGGCCCUCUCCCUUCCCUGCCACCCGUGGCAGCCAUGAAGGGGACGCCCAGCUCCCUGGAGACCCUGCUGUGGGUCUACCGCUUCCACAGCUCCACGGAGGUGGCCCUCCAGCCCCCGCUCCUGUCUUCGCUGGAGCUCGCUGUGGCCGCGGCCCACGAGUAUCUGGAGCAGAGGUUCACGGAGCUGAAGUCGCGGGAGCCGCCCGCUCCGGAGCCCACCCUGGGGCUGCUGCUCAGAGAGGCCGCGGCCAGCGUCCUGAACUUCGGCACCACCUUGUUAGAGAUCUCGGCCCUGUGGCUGCAGCAGGAGGUGCGGGGACUCGGCGGAGACGACAGCAGCGCGGGCCCCGCCCCGGACGCCGGAGAUCCCGGUGGCGCGCUGGCCCGGGUGGCCCAGGCUGCGGGGCAGGGCACUCGGCAAGCCGGGGCUGCGGUGGGCGCGAGCGCACGGUUCCUGCUCCGGGGGGCAUGGCUGUGCCUGUGCGGACGGGGUCUACGGGGGUCCGCCUCGUUCCUGCAGCAGUGCGGAAGCCAGCUGGAUCUCGGAACCCCCGGGGAGCCGGGGAGAUGAGGAGGGAUUCCGGGGCCCCGCGUGAGCUUUAGGCCGGCGCUCCGUGGUUGGGGCCAGAAGUGGAAUGUCAAGCUCAGAGAUGGUGCUGGGAACGGAGCCUCUAUUUACUGCCUGACCGGCAUGGCAUGGCUCAUAAGAAGAUAAAAGGCGGAGAAAAGAAAGGCUAAGGACCUCGAAACCCAGGGAACAGCAUGAUGAAGGUGAGUUUCCUGGGUUUCUUUGUACUUCGCUCACCCCGUCUUGGAAGUGAAGUCAGCAGGCUGGACACCCAGGCGCAGACAAAACAAGAAAAGCAAACAAAAUAAAACAAACCACAACAAAAAC